rnacentral:lncRNA from 1 species
AGGAUGCUGUUUUAUAGAAUUCUAGCAUCGACUGUUGGUAUUUCAGCUCGUACGCGACGUAAGAGUGUUGGAUUGCGACGAAACUUGGUUAUUUGGAUUCAGGACUUCGAGAGAAAUCCACGAAGCCCAAGAUUGCUGAAUUUGGUAAAGGUUAGCUUGGUCGAAACUCUGUUUCUCUCUGUUGUUGUUGUUUUGAGCAGAAUUGGUGUUUAUUGUGGGUUUCUAUGUUUAGAUCAUUGGAGCGUUGUUGUUGCUGGUUCGGUGAGUUGCAGCCGAGCUUG